rnacentral:lncRNA from 1 species
GUCAUUAUUACUAAGGGGGCGACUGGUUUUCCCGCUACCACCCGCAAACGCAGCUUUUGCGGUUAGUAGCGGUUGUCGGUGGUUUGUAACAAUCACUCAAAUCGCUCUAAACCGCUUCAAACCGCUUUAAACCGCUCUGAAUCUCAUAAAUUCAAAAGCUGGCUCCAGUUAGUGUUUGCGGUUGCGGGCAGUUGCGGGAGGCUAAAAUUUUUUUCUUUUUUUUAAAAC